rnacentral:rRNA from 1 species
CUACGGGUGGCUCCAGUCGCGGAACUUUUACAAUGCACGCAAGUGUGAUAAAGCAAGCCAAAGUGUUUUUCGUUUAGAAAAACUUUUUCUUAGUGUAAAAAUCUAGGAGAAUAAGGACUGGGAAAGACUGGUGCCAGCCGCCGCGGUAAUACCAGCAGUUCAAGUUGCAUCCCUUUUUAUUGGGUCUAAAACAUCCGUAGCUUGAAUUUUAAGUCUCUUGUGAAAUCCCACGUCUCAAGCGUGGCGAAGUGCAGGAGAUACUGGAAUUCUAGAGAUCGGUAGACGUAAGGAGUAAGCCGGAGGUAAUGGUAAAAUAUGUUAAUCUUCGGUGGACUAACAAUGAGCGAAGGCACCUUACGAGGACGAAUCUGACAGUGAGGGAUGAAGGCCAGGGGCGCAAAACGGAUUAGAUACCCCGGUAGUC